rnacentral:rRNA from 1 species
AUAGCGUAUAUUAAAGUUGUUGCAGUUAAAAAGCUCGUAGUUGAACUUCAGACCUGGCUGGAUGGUCUGCCUAACGGUAUGUACUGUCCGGCUGGGCCUUACCUCUUGGUGAGCCGGUGUGCCCUUUAUUGGGUGCGUUGGGGAACCAGGACUUUUACCUUGAGAAAAUUAGAGUGUUCAAAGCAGGCCUAUGCCCGAAUACAUUAGCAUGGAAUAAUAAAAUAGGACGUGCGGUUCUAUUUUGUUGGUUUCUAGAGUCGCCGUAAUGAUUAAUAGGGAUAGUUGGGGGCAUUAGUAUUCAGUUGCUAGAGGUGAAAUUCUUGGAUUUACUGAAGACUAACUACUG